rnacentral:sRNA from 1 species
GUUGAUUUUUUAAAAUUAUAUUUUUUUCAAUGUGUAAGUUGUUUAAAUGGAGCUAAGAAAAAAUACAAUUUGCAAACCAAGACUAACUGUUAAAUCAAAAUUAUCCAAAAUAUGUUAAAGAUCUGGCUUUGUUUUUGGUGGUAAUAGGUUCAACUUCUUGGGGCCGAUGGCCUAGAGCAAGAUGUUGGUGAAACUGAAGAUGAUGAAUCACCAGAGCAGCGAGCCCGGAGACCAAUGAAUGCAUUUCUUUUAUUUUGCAAACGCCAUCGCUCUCUUGUACGUCAGGAACACCCCAGGCUUGAUAACCGAGGUGCUACCAAGAUACUAGCUGAUUGGUGGGCUGUUCUUGAUCCAAAGGAAAAGCAGAAAUACACAGACAUGGCCAAGGAGUAUAAGGAUGCAUUUAUGAAAGCAAAUCCUGGCUACAAAUGGUGUCCUACCACAAACAAGCCUGUGAAAUCCCCAACACCCACUGUCAAUCCACGAAAGAAACUUUGGGCCUUCCCAUCUGACUCUUCAAGAGACUUGCCAAGCCCCAAGAAAGCAAAGACUGAAGAAAUGC